rnacentral:rRNA from 1 species
CCUACGGGUGGCAGCAGUAGGGAAUAUUGCUCAAUGGGGGAAACCCUGAAGCAGCAACGCCGCGUGGAGGAUGAAGGUUUUCGGAUUGUAAACUCCUUUUGUUAGAGAAGAUAAUGACGGUAUCUAACGAAUAAGCACCGGCUAACUCCGUGCCAGCAGCCGCGGUAAUACGGAGGGUGCAAGCGUUACUCGGAAUCACUGGGCGUAAAGAGCGCGUAGGCGGGAUAGCAAGUCAGAUGUGAAAGCCUAUGGCUUAACCAUAGAACUGCAUUUGAAACUGUUAUUCUUGAGUAUAGUAGAGGUAGGCGGAAUUCGUGGUGUAGCGGUGAAAUGCGUAGAGAUCACGAAGAAUACUGAUUGCGAAGGCGGCCCGCUAG